ACUUUCCUGUAAAAGAAUAAUCACAUGAUUAAAAAAAAAGAGAAGAAGAUGAUGAUAGGAUAUUUAUAGUUUCCAGGUUGUGUUCUGAUAUGGACGAGAUAACGCAUCCUAAUCUGUCUCAGAUCAUAAACAAUGUACUCGGUGUGCUCUGUAAGCAAAAUGAAACAAUUUUAUUGGCGUAAAGGUAAAAACAAAACCUGAAUUAUAAUUAUGAAAACAAACAAAAGAAAACCUUACAAUCCAUCUGAUACACGGGACAUCCAAGUGGAACAACAACACCAUCAUCCAAGCGGAACAACAACACCGUUAAUGUAAACACAUGAAUUAAUAAUAAUAAUGUAACCACAAAAGAAGGUAUAGAAGGAUGUGUACAGCGAAAAAAAAAGUUAGAAGGAUGUAACCGCAAACAGAUGCUGACAGAAUCAAUAUGUAAAACACCUUACCCGCUUAGUUCUUCAAGUCUAGCUUGUGUUUCCUCGUUUAUAAUCUUGUUUUGCUGUCCUUCAAUCACUUUUGAUAUUCUCUUCAGUAUUUCAUAACCCUAUUUCAAGAGGAGCAGUUAAUCAUCCGAUUUUUGUUUUAUGUAGUAAUUUAUCUUCAAGAGGGCCGG
rnacentral:lncRNA from 1 species